AACACAGCAAGACUCCGUCUCAAAAAAAAAAAAAAAAGACGGAUAUUGUUUCCUCAUAUUUUAAUCUCUGGAAUAAAGCUACACUUCAUCAAAUAAGGAAACGGGUUUGCAUAAGAACCACCUGGGAGGCUUGAUAAAAUGCAGAGUACUGGGCCCUGUCCUCAGAGUUUCCGAUUCAGGGAGUAUCCAGUGGGCCUUCAAAUUUACAUUUCCAACAAGGUCUCAGGCAAGACCACAAGGAUGUAUGUAUGGCUUCUUAGUAGUGUUUUCAGCCAGGUGUUUGAAAACCUCUUGAUGCAGGUAAGACCAAGAAAGCAGCAAGCAUCAAAGCAUCAGCAUUCAAUGAAACAUGUAUGAAAUUUUUUGAUGAUAUCUACCCAACAGUAUUUUAUUUGUAAUUACAAUUAAAUGUGAAUAACUUUGAGUCAUGUG
rnacentral:lncRNA from 10 species